GUUACCCAGACUGGUCUCAAACUCCUGGCCACCGGUGAUCCUCCUGCCCCAGCCUCCCAAAGCUCUGGGAUUACAGGUAUGAGCCCACUGUGCCCAGCGGCACCCCCUCCACCUUUUUCUUUAAAAAAAUAAAUAGUGGCAAGCUCUUGCUAUGCUGCCAAGACUAAUCUCAAACUCUUGGGCUUAAUUGAUCUUCCCACCUUGGACUCCCAAAAUGCUGGGAUUACAGGACAACACCCAGUCAGGUAUAGCCUUUGUCUGCAUGAUCCAAGCUAGAUUGUGGGUACACUCAUGUUCUAGGUCUCAAGAAGAAUAAAAAAUAUGGAUGAGGCACCUUUCUUUUUUCUUUUUUUUCUUUUUCUUUUCUUUUUUUUUUUCAGACAGAACCUCACUCUGUCACCCAGGCUGGAGUGCAGUGCCACGAUCUCGGCUCACUGCAACCUCCGCUUCCCGGGUUCACGCCAUUCUCCUGCCUCAGCCUCCUGAGUAGCUGGGACUACAGGUACCCGCCACCACACCUGGCUAAUUUUUUGUAUUUUUAAUAGAGAUGGGGUUUCACCGUGUUAGCCAGCAUGGUCUUGAUCUCCUGAUCUCAUGAUCCGCCAGCCUCGGCCUCAAAGUUCUGGGAUUACAGGCGUGAGCCAACGUGCCCAGCCGAGGCACCUUUCUUAAGGUCCCAGCCCAUAGGUGGUCCACAUCACUUCUGCCUACAUUCCAUGAUCAGGAGCUUAGUCACAUGAUCAGCCCUAACUGUAAGGUGGCUGGGAAAUAUAUAUAUAUGUAUGUGUCUACAUAUAUGUGUGUAUAUAUAUGUGUGUGUGUGUGUGUGUGUGUGUGUGUGUAUGCAGCCAUAGGCCGAGUAGUUCAAUUAUUGUAGAAGAAGGAAAGAAUAGGUUUUUGGAUAGUGUCAUUACAUCAACCUAGAUGUGACCCAGAUACCACCAAGUAGAGGCUCUUCAGUUAUUAUGAGCAAUUAGGUCAGAGUUUUUGUUAAAGUGGAAACAGGGAAAGUAUGAUCCAUAGAGGACAUAAGGACAUAGGAUCCCUUCGAGUAAUGGAACAUGUCCCAGGGGCUUGAAAAGAGACUGUUUUGUUUGUCCUUCCAGACAGGGGAGUUCAGGGGCAUUCAGCAGCAGACAAGGGUGAUGGAUACCCAGAACAUUGCUUAUGAAAUGAUUUAUAUUUUUAAUAAUACUUUAUAGUUUACAAGGAUCAUUUGUACAUAUUGUUUGAUUGGAUGUUGAAAACAUUCCUCAUUAGGGACAGCUAGACGUAGAGAGAUGAAAGGUCUUGCACAAAAUCACACAAUUCAUAAAUAGCAAAGGUGAGAUCUGAACCCAAGUCUUCCUAGUUUCAGUCCAGUGCUUUUUACCAAAUAAAAAUGCUACAUAUUGAUUUUUUUUUUUUAUCCUGGGAGGGUGACUAGUUGGACAUCUCAAAUGGAGUAAGGACUUUACUUUUUCACUGGACUUUACUUUUUCAGUUUCCAUGUAAUUUGGAUGUCAUUGUGAAGACGUCAAGAGUCAUGUCCACAAAGAUAAUACUGGUUAUUACUUGGUGACCACCUACUGUAAGCCAGGCCCUGAGCUGGACACUUUAUUUAUAUCUUAUUUAUUCCUCCUAAUGAUCCAGCAAGGUAGGCAUUAUUACACCUAUCUUGCAGAGGAGGAAGCUGAAGAGGUUAGGUAACUUUUCCCAAACAGAGAGCUAGUAAGUGGGUAAGCCAGGUCAUGAAUCCAAGUUAAUCUGCUAUCUUCCCUCUCAGUGCUGCCUUGAAGGACGAGGGGUAUCUGCUGCUCAGGCCUCAGGAAUGGACACAUAGGCUUCAGGCCCAUGAGGACCUCCUGGACUAAGAGCCAGUCUCACUGCCACCUGUCAGAGCCUUCUUCAAGGGAGUAAACAGAGGGGCAGGACUCACCUCACUUCGUGCUGCCAGGGCUAGAGCUAUCCUUUCUCCCCACUCCAUUCCCACCUUGCUGGGUGAGCCUGCAGUUUUUCCAAGGCAGGGCCAGCCUGUCCUGUGCUGCAAGAUGUAUUAAUCAAUUUGAUGGGGAUGUUAAAGCUUUCUCUUUGCAACUAAUUAUGGCCUGAUUUAUAGGCCUGGCCUUGGUUUGAUAGAGCUCUCCUCAUGACAGGGAUGAAUGUGGUACUGGCAUGGACCCCUUCAUCUCUUCCAUUUCUCUCUCUUCCUCCCUCCUCCCUCCCUCCCACGGCUCCUGCCUCCUGCCUCUGCUCUUGGUUCCCACAGGAACACCCUAAUGACAUGUUGACAAGCUAGUGAAGCAUGGCUCCCUCUCUGUUGCAUCUGCCUCUGGCACCACCAUUCCUCCUGUAUUCUCUGACAUGGGCAGAUGGGUGCUGUGCUGGAGGAAGCUCUGUACACCCUUUCCUUCUGGAAACAAGAAACAAUAAAAAUAUUUUGGGUUGAUGCAGCAUCUUCCUUCCCAAACAUUCCAAGAGCUUGUUGAAAUAAACUUUAUCCCUGAUGGAACUUCCAGGUAAGAUUUCAGCCACAUCCUGCUCCUCCCUCACAUGGAAACAGGCAGCACCUAGGCCAUCAUCUGCUCAGACUUUCCUUCAGAGGAAAAGAGAAACCACAAACAGCUGCCGUGUGGGCCCUCCUGCCAGAUUCCGGAUUCCAGCUCAGACCACGGAUCUCGAUGACUUCAUUGGUAUCUGAGCUGGAACUCUCUUCUCCAGGGACAGAGAGGCCGCCAGCAUCCCUGCAGAGCCCCCAGAAAAAGAGGAAGCUGCAUGGUGGGUUCACACCUGGGCCAGUACAAAAAGGUCAUGCUUGGAGAGAUACACCAAGAUCUCCACCUGAGGGCUGAGUCCUGGCCCAGGGCUUGCUUCACUAGUUGGCAGCCUGGGAACACUUGCUGUGAGCUCCAAAGCAUGUUGAAGAGCGGGGCUGUCCAUGUUGAAUCCUGUUAGUCAUGCAGCUGAGGGAAUUCCAAUCACCUGACCCGGGUCUGACCGCAGUUACCAGUCUCAAGUCUGAGCAGCGUCUCCAGUGCUGGGCUGCCUUCUUGACUCCAGGAGGCAUGCCUGCUCUUACAAUGAAACUCAAGUCUUUUUUUUUCCUUCCCACAAGUUUGGCUUCUACUUUUCUAAGUGCUGUUCAUCAUAUACUCUGUGUUGUAAGUACUCAGCUCUCUAGCAUCUCUUUAUACUACCUUUUAUUCUUCUGGAAUAUCCUUCCUUCCCACCCACAAGCAUAUUAGGCAAAACUUGCCCACCGUGGUAACUGGAAACAGGACUGAGGGGAAGGAAAACUCUCUCCCAGGUGCAUGGAGUGGGAACUCAUUUAGGGCAUCUUUAGUGCCAUACAUAGAACCUGGAAUACAAUAGGAGCUCAAUUAAUACAUGUUAAAUGGAUAAAUAUUGGUUAAAUGCAUCAUGUUUCUAUACAAUUCUCUUUAAACUAUAAACUCCCCAAGCACAAAGUUAAGAACUAUGUCUCUCUUAUCAGACAAGAUGCCUCCUAACCCAGAUUAUACAGGAGCAUUGUGAGGGCAAGCCCAUGCCAACUCCACAUUCUGUGAGCUCCCAAAACUCCACCAAGGACCUUGCUUAAUGAUGACUUAGACCAGGGUUUCUCGACCUCAGCAUUAUUG
rnacentral:lncRNA from 10 species